UACGUAGGGUGCGAGCGUUGUCCGGAAUUAUUGGGCGUAAAGGGCUCGUAGGCGGUUUGUCGCGUCGGGAGUGAAAACUCAGGGCUUAACCCUGAGCCUGCUUCCGAUACGGGCAGACUAGAGGUAUGCAGGGGAGAAUGGAAUUCCUGGUGUAGCGGUGAAAUGCGCAGAUAUCAGGAGGAACGCCGGUGGCGAAGGCGGUUCUCUGGGCAUUACCUGACGCUGAGGAGCGAAAGUGUGGGGAGCGAACAGG
rnacentral:rRNA from 1 species